rnacentral:rRNA from 1 species
GGUGAACGCUGGCGGUAUGCUUAACACAUGCAAGUCGUACGGAAGUUUUUAACUUUAGUGGCGGACGGGUGAGUAACACGUGAGAAUUUGCCUUUAGGAGGGGGAUAACAAUUGGAAACAAAUGCUAAUACCCCCAUAUGCUUUUGAGUGAAAUGGAUUUAUCCGCCUAGAGAGAAGCUCGCGGCUGAUUAGCUUGUUGGUAAGGUAAGAGCUUACCAAGGCGACGAUCAGUAUCUGGUUUGAGAGGACGAUCAGACACACUGGAACUGAGACACGGUCCAGACUCCUACGGGAGGCAGCAGUGGGAAUUUCCGCAAUGGGCGAAAGCCUGACGGAGCAAUACCGCGUGAGGGAUGAAUGCCUA